AAUCUUUGACCACACUCAGAACAGACAAAUGCUUUUUGUCCUGAGUGUGUUAUCAUGUGUCUGCUCAGGUGGCCUUUUUGUCCAAACCUUUGACCACACUCAGAACAGACAAAUGCUUUUUGCCCUGUAUGAAUUAUCAUGUGUGUGUUCAGCUUGCCCUUUUCUCUAAAUCUUUUACCACACUCAGAACAGACAAAUGCUUUUUGCCCUGUAUGAAUCAUUAUGUGUGUGUUCAGCUUGCCCUUUUCUCCAAAUCUUUUACCACACUCAGAACAGACAAAUGCUUUUUGCCCUGUAUGAAUUAUCAUG